rnacentral:rRNA from 1 species
UACGGAGGGUGCAAACGUUGCUCGGAAUCAUUGGGCGUAAAGCGCAUGUAGGCGGUUCGUUAAGUCGGAUGUGAAAGCCCUGGGCUUAACCGAGGAAGUGCAUACGAAACUGGCGAACUUGAGUACGGGAGAGGGUCACGGAAUUCCCGGUGUAGAGGUGAAAUUCGUAGAUAUCGGGAGGAACACCAGUGGCGAAGGCGGUGGCCUGGACCGAUACUGACGCUGAGAUGCGAAAGCGUGGGGAGCAAACAGG